AGUGAACGCUGGCGGUAGGCCUAACACAUGCCAGUCGAACGGCAGCACAGUAAGAGCUUGCUCUUACGGGUGGCGAGUGGCGGACGGGUGAGGAAUACAUCGGAAUCUACUUUUUCGUGGGGGAUAACGUAGGGAAACUUACGCUAAUACCGCAUACGACCUACGGGUGAAAGCAGGGGAUCUUCGGACCUUGCGCGAUUGAAUGAGCCGAUGUCGGAUUAGCUAGUUGGCGGGGUAAAGGCCCACCAAGGCGACGAUCCGUAGCUGGUCUGAGAGGAUGAUCAGCCACAUUGGAACUGAGACACGGUCCAGACUCCUACGGGAGGCAGCAGUGGGGAAUAUUGGACAAUGGGCGCAAGCCUGAUCCAGCCAUACCGCGUGGGUGAAGAAGGCCUUCGGGUUGUAAAGCCCUUUUGUUGGGAAAGAAAAGCAGCAGGUUAAUACCCCGCUGCUCUGACGGUACCCAAAGAAUAAGCACCGGCUAACUUCGUG
rnacentral:rRNA from 1 species